GUGGUUGUGGCUCAGUGGUAGAGUGCUCAUCUAGCUUGGGUGAGGCACUGGGUUCAAUCCUCAACACCACA
rnacentral:tRNA from 1 species